rnacentral:rRNA from 1 species
GAUGAACGCUGGCGGCGUGCCUAAUACAUGCAAGUCGAGCGAACAGACGAGGAGCUUGCUCCUCUGACGUUAGCGGCGGACGGGUGAGUAACACGUGGAUAACCUACCUAUAAGACUGGGAUAACUUCGGGAAACCGGAGCUAAUACCGGAUAAUAUAUUGAACCGCAUGGUUCAAUAGUGAAAGACGGUUUUGCUGUCACUUAUAGAUGGAUCCGCGCCGCAUUAGCUAGUUGGUAAGGUAACGGCUUACCAAGGCAACGAUGCGUAGCCGACCUGAGAGGGUGAUCGGCCACACUGGAACUGAGACACGGUCCAGACUCCUACGGGAGGCAGCAGUAGGGAAUCUUCCGCAAUGGGCGAAAGCCUGACGGAGCAACGCCGCGUGAGUGAUGAAGGUCUUCGGGUCGUAAAACUCUGUUAUUAUGGAAGAACAAAUGUGUAAGUAACUAUGCACGUCUUGACGGUACCUAAUCAGAAAGCCACGGCUAACUACGUG